GAGAAGGCAGAGAAAAAGAAAAGAGGACCAAAACCUUCCACACAGAAACGUAAGAUGGACGGUGCCCCUGAUGGCCGUGGAAGAAAAAAGAAGCUGAAACUAUGAAUGCAUUUUUGUCUUAUAAUCACUAACUGGUAGUUCUUUAAUUUACGGGUCUUCAUAAGAUGUGCUGUACAGUGCUCAACUGUUAUGUCAUUCAGACAUCAGGUCCAUCUGCUUACUGAGCUAGAAACAUAGUAUGUAGUUUCACUUUUUUUAAAUGCAACAGCUGUGCUGAAAUUUUUUUUAUCAUUAACAAUUGAAGUAAUAAAACAGGCUUCAUUUAUUAAUAAAUGUUUCAUUUGAUUUAUUUUUCUAAUAGUUUCAUUUGUGAGGAUUGUGGCUUUUUAUCAGCUACUUUAACACUUGUAUGGCUUAAAAACAAGCAAACAAGUAAAAAAAUACUGCAGAUAACAUUUGAUUGGUCCCUUCAGCUUGGUUGUGUAAUUAAUUACUUCACAUUCUUUGCCUUUGCUGAUUUUUUUUUUUUUUUGUGGUACUAUUGAGUCUCAUCUGGAAAGAUUGUAAAUUGCAUUCUUGCUUAUUAUAGAAUGGGGAAGACAAGUAUUAAUAAUUUUCUAUGCAUAUUUCUGUUAUACUUUCUGUUCCUAUGGUUCUGAUGUGAAUGUGUCCUAUUUUGUUGGAUGAAUGGCCUUUUUUAGUUGUAUAGCCAAAGACAUUUAGUAUUUUCUGGUUCUUUAAGGUGAUGUAUUAUUUUGUAAAAGGAAUUUUUUUAAGUAUUUGGAAAAUAUUUUGACAAAUGGCCUUGCAGCAGCCACAAGAUAAUGUCAGAAGUAAGGUGAUUUUUUUUUUUUUAAAUUUGAAUGACCCAGCCAAAAUGAGGUUUGAAUUUGUCAUACUGUUAUAAUACUAAUAGAAUGUACCCUCUCAGUUUAUAGUAUUUUUGAGUUUUUAGAGUAAAUGAAAAUUUUAUUUUAUUAUAUUUUAAAAAUAACUUCUAAGUCUUAGUAGCAAGAUGGAGUAUAAUUCCAGUUUUUAUUUUCUAUGGAAUAGACUGGUAAACUGGAGACCCUGAAGCAGGAAUACCCAGAGGCCUUUAUGUGCUACACAUCAUUUGUAUAAAGUUUUAUAUGUGCAAAUUGGGUACAUAAGCAGUUCUCCAUUUUUCUAAGGGAAUGCAAUAAAUGUAGCAUCGUGAAUAAAUAUAACUUUUAUAAUCCUU
rnacentral:lncRNA from 1 species